GAAGGUAGGAAGGGCACACGGUGGAUGCCUCGGCGCGAAGGGCCGAUGAAGGGCGUGGUAAGCUGCGAAAAGCCUCGGGGAGCCGCAAGCAGGCGUUGAUCCGGGGAUGCCCGAAUGGGGAAACCCGGCGGGGGGAAUGCCCCGUCAUCCCGGACUGAAUCCAUAGGUUCGGGAGGGGAACCGCGGGAACUGAAACAUCUCAGUACCGCGAGGAAAAGAAAUCAACCGAGAUUCCCCGAGUAGCGGCGAGCGAAAGGGGAGGAGCCCAAACCCGGGCGGUGGAGAAGGCUGCCACCGUUGCCGUCCGGGGGUUGCGGGGCGCAGGAGCGGAGCUUGGCAGGGCUCCGGCGGAGUGAGCAAGCCGUCCGCUAGCCGAAGCGGUCUGGAAAGGCCGGCCAGAGAGGGUAACAGCCCCGUAGGCGAAAGCGGAAGGCCUCCGUUGCUGCGUUCCCGAGUACCACGGGGCACGUGGAACCCCGUGGGAAGCUGGGGGGGACCACCCUCCAAGGCUAAAUACCCGAGCGACCGAUAGUGCACCAGUACCGUGAGGGAAAGGUGAAAAGCACCCCGGGAGGGGAGUGAAAGAGAACCUGAAGCCGUGUGCCUACAGCCAGUCGGAGGGGCGCAAGCCCUGACGGCGUGCCUAUUGAAGAAUGAGCCGGCGAGUGACCGUCUGCAGCGAGGUUAAGGGCCGCAGGUCCGGAGCCGCAGGG
rnacentral:rRNA from 1 species